GUGCUUGUUUCAGCAGCACAUACACUAAAAUUGGAACGAUACAGAGAAGAUUAGCAUGGCCCCUGUGCAAGGAUGACAUGCAAAUUCGUGAAUUGUUCCAUAUUUUU
rnacentral:snRNA from 1 species